GCCAGGCGCAGUGGCUUACGCCUGUAAUCCCAGCACUUUGGGAGGCCGAGGCAGGCGGAUCACCUGAGGUCAGGAGUUCAAAACCUGCCUGGCCAACAUGGUGAAACCCUGUCUCUA
rnacentral:SRP_RNA from 1 species